rnacentral:rRNA from 1 species
GACGAACGCUGGCGGCGUGCUUAACACAUGCAAGUCGAACGGUGACCCAGGGCUUGCCCUGGUGAUCAGUGGCGAACGGGUGAGUAACACGUGGGCAACCUGCCCCUGACUUCGGGAUAACUCCUCGAAAGAGGAGCUAAUACCGGAUACGACCACUUCGGACAUCCGAUGGUGGUGGAAAGUUUUCGGUCAGGGAUGGGCCCGCGGCCUAUCAGCUAGUUGGUGGGGUAAUGGCCUACCAAGGCGACGACGGGUAGCCGGCCUGAGAGGGCGACCGGCCACACUGGGACUGAGACACGGCCCAGACUCCUACGGGAGGCAGCAGUGGGGAAUAUUGCGCAAUGGGCGAAAGCCUGACGCAGCGACGCCGCGUGAGGGAUGAAGGCCUUCGGUUGUAACCGUACUUCUAGCAGGGACGAAG